GUAGUUCUGCUGCUUCAAUCACAGUAAUGCUGGAGCUCUUCAGAAAGCAUAACAUCAUGGGACCUGCAUUUUAUCUUUUGUGGCUCUUCCUUCUUCCAUGUCCCUGAGAUGAUGAACCAGAAGAGCGUCCUUUCAAGCAUGAAGCACAGCAAGUCCAAAACAGAUCCCCAUUCUCCUUGGGGACCAACCUGCAGGGUCAAUGAGAGAAACAGAACAAGUCCUCAGGACUCUCAAGAGCUAAACUGCAAAACCACGGGCUUCAGCAAAACCCUUCAAGCCAGCCCAUCUCCCAGCAGAGCCUCUGUCCCUUUCUCUCAACUCAGGGCUGGAAACAAUGACAGGAUAUUCUCUGCAGCCUGCCUGACAUCCAACAGUGGCAAAGAACCAAAGCACGAUCCAGGCAUUGCCUGCUGCUGGGCUUAUUUCACAGGCACUCAGGAACAGUAA
rnacentral:lncRNA from 14 species